AAGUGGCCGAUACCAUACUUCCAAGAAAAGUCUCUAAGCUUCAGUUACACAGGAAUCGUACCCGAAACCGACACAGGUGGUCAGGUCGAGUAGACCAAGGCGCUUGAGAGAACUCUGCUGAAGGAACUAGGCAAAAUGGUACCGUAACUUCGGGAGAAGGUACGCUGCUGAUGGUGAUAGGACUUGCUCCUUGAGCUGUCGGCAGCCGCAGAAACCAGGCCGCUGCAACUGUUUAUUAAAAACAUAGCACUCUGCAAACACGAAAGUGGACGUAUAGGGUGUGAUGCCUGCCCGGUGCUGGAAGGUUAAUUGAUGGGGUUAGCGUAAGCGAAGCUCUUGAUCGAAGCCCCAGUAAACGGCGGCCGUAACUAUAACGGUCCUAAGGUAGCGAAAUUCCUUGUCGGGUAAGUUCCGACCUGCACGAAUGGCAUAAUGAUGGCGGCGCUGUCUCCAGCAGAGGCUCAGUGAAAUCGAAAUCGCUGUGAAGAUGCAGUGUACCCGCGGCUAGACGGAAAGACCCCGUGAACCUUUACUGCAGCUUGACACUGAACUUUGACCUUACUUGUGUAGGAUAGGUGGGAGGCUUUGAAGUAGGGACGCCAGUUCCUAUGGAGCCAUCCUUGAAAUACCACCCUGGUAAUGUUGAGGUUCUAACUCUGACCCAUAAUCUGGGUCGAGGACCGUGUCUGGUGGGUAGUUUGACUGGGGCGGUCUCCUCCUAAAGAGUAACGGAGGAGUACGAAGGUGCGCUCAGCGUGGUCGGAAAUCACGCGUAGAGUAUAAAGGCAAAAGCGCGCUUAACUGCGAGACCCACAAGUCGAGCAGGUACGAAAGUAGGUCUUAGUGAUCCGGUGGUUCUGUAUGGAAGGGCCAUCGCUCAACGGAUAAAAGGUACUCUGGGGAUAACAGGCUGAUACCGCCCAAGAGUUCAUAUCGACGGCGGUGUUUGGCACCUCGAUGUCGGCUCAUCUCAUCCUGGGGCUGAAGCAGGUCCCAAGGGUAUGGCUGUUCGCCAUUUAAAGAGGUACGCGAGCUGGGUUUAGAACGUCGUGAGACAGUUCGGUCCCUAUCUACCGUGGGCGCUGGAAAUUUGAGAGGAUCUGCUCCUAGUACGAGAGGACCAGAGUGGACGAACCUCUGGUGUACCGGUUGUGACGCCAGUCGCAUCGCCGGGUAGCUAUGUUCGGAAGGGAUAACCGCUGAAAGCAUCUAAGCGGGAAGCCUACCUCAAGAUAAGAUUUCCCC
rnacentral:rRNA from 1 species